GAGGCCAAGGCAUUUGAUUCUACACCUCUUCCCUGAAAGCUACCAGGAAAGAAAGAAGAUCUCUUCUCUGAAAAGAGGAACCUGCUAGAAGCCUGAGGCACAGACUGAACACAGAGCAGAGAAGGUGGCUGGGAAUUGACCCUAAGGAAAGAAGGAAAGAUUGAUGAUCCGAAGAAUGGAGGGGAGAAUCCACAGAACAGAGUCCUCAAGCAGAUGGCGGGGCCUGGUGCGUGAGCAGAGGUCUCACCUAGGCGAGGAGGCGUGUGCUGGACUCCUUUUAAUUUUAGCAUGAAUCAUAGAACACCACCCUACCCCGCUGGGGAUUAUUGUCUUCUGUGCAGAAGUGAGCGGAAAGACUCUUCAUUCUUAGAGAGCGGAAUUAAGACUGCGAGCAAAUUGGCCCUUUCUAUGGCCCCCAAGGGCAACAGCGUGCUGCACCUGCCACUGUGGGUAUGCCCAGACUGCCGGCGGACUGUGGAGAAGGAGGAGAGGCAUAGCGGCCUCGACCAGCCAUCGCAGGGCCAAGACUUUCUUCUUCACUCCCCUCUCAGCGGCUCGCAGCCGGAGGCGGGCGGCGGGCGGCUGGCCCUCGGCGCACAGACGCUGCCCUCGGCCGGCCUGGGCGCCGCCCCCUCGGACGCCGCGUGUGCUUGCGAGGCCUGCAGCGAGCGCAGAGAGAUUUCGGCAGACACAGACCGGGAGCCCCAGCAGCUGCAGAACUACUGGUCAGAAGUGCGCUACAUGGUCCGCUGCAUUUACCGCCAGGCAGGGACUCCGCUGGCCGACGACCAAGACCAGAGUCUCGUGCCGGACAAGGAGGGGGUGAAGGAGCUCGUGGAUAGGCUCUGUGAGAGGGACCCUUACCAGCUGUACCAGCGGUUGGAACAACAGGCCAGAGAGUAUGUGCUGGAGAUGAAGGUCCGACUCCUCCGGCAGCUGUCGGCUGCAUCCAAAGUGAAAGCCCCGUCUGCCCUGCAGGGCCCUCCACAGGCACACCAGUUCAUCUCCCUCCUUCUCGAAGAGUACGGUGCCCUCUGCCAGGCGGCACGCACAAUCAGCACCUUCCUUGGCACGCUGGAAAACGAACACUUGAAAAAGUUCCAGGUGACGUGGGAGCUGCAUAAUAAACAUCUGUUUGAAAACCUGGUCUUUUCGGAGCCACUUCUCCAGAGCAACUUGCCGGCACUGGUGUCACAGAUCAGGCUGGGGACCACAACACACGACACGUGCAACGAGGACACGUACAGCACCCUGCUGCAACGGUACCAGCGCUCCGAGGAGGAGUUGCGCAGGGUGGCUGAGGAGUGGCUGGAGUGCCAGCAGAGGAUCGACGCCUAUGUCGAUGAGCAGAUGACCAUGAAAACCAAACAGCGCAUGCUGACAGAGGACUGGGAGCUUUUCAAACAAAGGCGAUUCAUUGAGGAGCAGCUAACCAACAAGAAAGCAGUUGCUGGUGAGAACAAUUUCACGGACGCCAUGAGGCACAUGUUGUCCUCCCGGCUGAGCAUGCCCGACUGCCCCAACUGCAACUACAGGAGAAGAUGUGCUUGUGAUGACUGCAGCCUCUCACACAUCCUCACUUGUGGUGUCAUGGACCCCCCCGUCACUGGCGACAUCCACAGUCACCAGCUGCCCCUCCAAGUGGAUUCUGCUCCCGACUAUCUCUCUGAGAUGCGCCCACCUAGCGUGUCCUCAGCAAGCUCAGGGUCAGGUUCCAGCUCUCCCAUUACAAUUCAGCAACAUCCCAGACUCAUCCUCACAGACAAUGGCUCUGCACCAACUUUUUGUAGUGAUGACGAAGACGUUGCACCAUUGUCAGCUAAGUUUGCUGAUAUUUAUCCAUUGAGUAACUACGACGAUACUGAGGUGGUGGCCAACAUGAAUGGAAUCCACAGCGAAUUGAAUGGUGGCGGGGAAAACUUGGCUCUGAAAGAUGAGUCCCCUCAGGUAAGCAGUACCAGUAGUAGCUCUUCAGAGGCUGACGACGAAGAGGCAGAUGGCGAAAGCAGUGGGGAGCCGCCAGGAGCCCCAAAGCAAGACGUGGCUCUAGGCAAUGGGAGCCCCAGGAAAGAGGAAAGUAAAGUGGACAGUCCACCCCCAUCUUACCCAACUCAGCAGGCUGAACAAACUCCAAACACUUGUGAAUGUCAUGUUUGUAAACAAGAAGCCUCUGGACUGACAGCAUCAGCAAUGACAGCUGGCGCCCUUCCUCCCGGCCAUCAGUUCAUGAGCCCAGAGAAGCCCACACACCCUGCUCUGCAUCUUUACCCCCACAUCCACGGACAUGUGCCUUUGCACGCAGUCCCACACCUGCCCCGCCCUCUCAUCCACCCCACCUUGUAUACAGCGCCCCCCUUCACACACAGUAAGGCUUUACCGCCAGCACCUGUUCAGAAUCACACAAAUAAGCAUCAGGUAUUCAAUGCAUCUCUUCAAGACCAUAUUUAUCCAAGCUGUUUUGGGAAUACUCCAGAGUGGAAUAGUUCUAAAUUUAUAAGUCUUUGGGGAUCAGAAGUGAUGAAUGAUAAGAACUGGAAUCCUGGCACUUUCUUGCCAGAUACAAUUUCUGGGGGUGACAUGCUAGGGCCAGCGCUGUCCGAACCCAGACCCGAAGCCCUCCCACCUCCACCCAGCGACGAGGCGCCCACCGUGUCGGAGAGCAAGGAGAAAAAAAGUGCCGCCAAACAGAAGUGCUUAUACAAUUUCCAAGACGCCUUCCUGGAGGCGAACAAAGUCGUGAUGGCCACGUCGUCUGCCACCUCCUCCGUAUCCUGCACAGCCACCACCGUGCAGUCAAGCAACAGCCAGUUCAAAGUGUCAUCCAAGAGGCCUCCCUCCCUAGGCGAGGUGUUCCACGGCGUCAGCAAGGAGGACCACAGACACGCGGUGCCGGCCGCCCCGAGGAACAGCCCCACGGGCCUGGCGCCGCUCCCCGCCCUCGCCCCUGCCGCCCUCGCCCCUGCCUCCUCGCCUCACCUCGCAAGUCUCGCAGCCCCGUCAUUCCCCAGCACCGCGGCCACGUCCCCUGGGUUUGUGGACACGCGCAAGAGCUUCUGUCCUGCUCCCGGAGCCCCCCCGCCCCCCACCACAGACGGCUCCCUCAGCGCCCCCCCCAGCGUCUGCAGUGACCCCGACUGCGAGGGGCACCGCUGUGAGAACGGCGUGUAUGACCCGCAGCAAGACGACGGGGACGAGAGCGCUGACGAGGACAGCUGCUCCGAGCACAGCUCCAGCACCUCGACCUCCACCAACCAGAAGGAGGGCAAGUACUGUGACUGCUGCUACUGUGAGUUCUUCGGGCACGGCGGGCCUCCGGCUGCACCAACAAGUAGGAAUUAUGCAGAAAUGAGGGAGAAGCUUCGUUUGCGGCUGACCAAGAGGAAAGAGGAACAGCCUAAGAAAGCGGACCAGCUCUCCGAGAGGGAGGGUGUGGUUGACCAUCGCAGGGUGGAGGACCUUCUGCGGUUCAUAAACAGCUCCGAGCCCAAGCCAGUGAGCAGCACCCGAGCCGCCAAGCGAGCCAGGCACAAGCAGAGAAAGCUGGAAGAGAAGGCGCGCCUGGAAGCAGAGGCCCGGGCCCGGGAGCACCUGCACCUCCGGGAGGAGCAGCGGCGGCAGGAGGAGGAGGAGGAGUUUCAGCGGCUUCAGGAGCUUCAGAAGCUGAGGGCUGUGAAAAAGAAGAAGAAGGAGAGGCCAAGCAAAGACUGUCCCAAGUUGGACAUCCUUGCUAGAAACUUCCAGGCAGCAGCAGAGUCUGUACCUAACUCUGAAAACAUGCACAAUGGCUCACUAGAGCAAAUGGAAGAACCAGAGACCUCACCUCACUCCCCUUCCAGACACGGGGACCACUCAGAGCCUGGGCCGGGGCCGGGGGCCGACGGCGACGCCACCGACCCCAUGGACGCCAGAGACUCCAAGCUCCUCCUCCCGAAGGAGGUCAGCGGGAAGCAGCAGGAGCCGCUGUCUUUUCUCCUUGACAUCAUGCAUCAGCACAAGGAGGGGAGUGGCAAGCAAAAGCUCAAGCAGACCAGUAAGGCCAGCAGCGAGCCGGCAAGAAGGCCGGCCGAGCCCCCCAAGGCCUCCGAGAGCCAGCCCAGACCCCGGCCCCAGACUGAGUCGAAGGCAAAAGUCCUGGACCUCACUUCCCUGGCAGAGCAGAAAAGAGAGGAGAGGAAAGUCAACAGUAACAACAAUAACAAAAAGCAGCUGAACCACGUCAAGGAAGAAAGGUUGAAUCUGGCCCCCCAGGAGCCUGCCUCCCCCAGCGAGCACCCUCAGGACAGCAAGCUGGUGCCCGCAGACUCUCCUCAGCCCAAGGGCAAGAGCAAGAAAAACAGGAAGAAGAAAGGAGACAGAGUCAGCAGCUCAAUCGAUGAUGUCUUUCUGCCUAAAGAUAUCGACCUAGACAGCGUGGACAUGGACGAGACCGAGAGGGAAGUGGAGUAUUUCAAAAGAUUCUGUUUGGAUUCGGCUAGACAGACCCGACAAAGACUGUCCAUCAACUGGUCCAAUUUUAGCUUGAAAAAGGCCACUUUUGCCGCCCACUGAAUGAGGACCGCCUGGAGAGGGACGCGCAGGAGGCAGUUUGUGGGAGCCUCCGGUGGAGCCGCCAUCCUGUUCCCACCCACUUCCCGGAGCACCCCGGAGCCCCACUGCUCCCCACUCUUGGACUUCUGGACUGACGGCAUGCAGGUGGGACAGAGCAGAGGCAAGAGGGACUCCUGAGGCUCUGCUCUGAGCCCUGGGCGGGACGGGGCCAAGUCUGGGGUGCUCAUCAGAAGCCCAGGUGGGAGGAAGGACAGCAUAUCUCUGCUCCUGGGAUGACCCAGCAGAUCGAGGAGCAGGCUGGGUGGUGACCACAGGAGCCAUGUCCUCAAAAGGCCCUGAUGUGCCUCCAGGACUCCCAGGCCCAGGCCUCGUCCCUUCCCGGUGAGCGUGAGGGUAGCCGGGCUGGCUGGGCAAACGCUGGGGAGGGUCCCGGGGAGCCUGCACACCUGGACCCUGCCAUCUGGGGAACCUGCCCGCCCAGGCCCACCCCUGAGACCCUGCCCGUGCCCCACCCCAUCCUUCUCAUGAGUUGGAAGCAGUCCCACCUGUGGGCCGCAGCUUUCAUCUGUCCUGGGGGCCACAGUGGCCGAAGGGUCCUACCUGUGACAUGAGCAGGGCCUUGUCGGGGCCAGGAGUGGUGAGGGGGACCCCCCUGGGCACCCCGACACAGUGUCCACACACACCCAUGUCUCCACCUAAGUUGGCCCCACCUGCCCCCCUGCCACACCCCUGCCCCCCUCACACACGGGCCAGCCACCUAGGCCUUAUUCCGGCCUUUCUGCUUGAAAUCGGGAGAAUGCCCUUCCCACGUUCCACACAAGGCCCAACCCUUUCGCUCCUUUGGGUCUUUCCCUGAGUAGGGGUUGGGGGGGGGGGGGUGUCUCUUUACCAUUCCCAGUUCUCAGGAACAGAACACUGAGGAUGGAUUUCGGGCCUGGGAGGCCCAGGACAGUCCAGGAGUAGGAAAAGGUGGUGGAGGGUCAAGGCUGGCAGGGCUUCCUUAGUUCAGCCCCUCCCACACAGGUGGAGGCAGGCCCAGGCCCAGACACUGGAUGCUGUGCCCCCCAGUGCAAGGCUGCGUCGUCCUGCCCAGGCAUUGCAUUUACUGGUGGGGAAACCAAGGCCCAAGGUGUGCCUGCGAGACAUCUGGCCCCAGUGCUACUGUCUUCACAGGGGCCUCGGCCCGAGGGUCAGAUCGCGUUGGAGUGUCCCCUCCUUUACACAAUAAAUGAUCACGAGAUGAAAUAAAAUAACAGUAGCUAGAAAACAAACAGUGGAAAUGCCCUUUCGUUGAACUUUGUCUACAUAGUCAGGCCAUUAAAAAAAAUAUUAUCAAAAUAAGCAUUAUGGUACCAAAAAGGAUUAACAUUUCUUCAUUUCAUUAAUAUGUUUUUUUAAAGAAGAGAAAACUUACCUCACAGGUCACACUGUGUCGCGGUUUUAAACACAAAUAAAACCUCUCGGUCACACACGCAAUGACAAUUGAAGUAACUGGAGUCCUGGUUCUUCGUCUUCACAAUGACAGCCAAUCACUGUCUGUCUUGGAUCCACUACUAAACCGGAAGAGUAACUGGUACGGGGCGGGGUGGGGAGUGGGGGGAGGAAUGGGAACGAACUGCACAGAGAAAAUUCAAGCGGUUCUGGACUGUUAAGAACUUACUCCUGAAACUGUGUGUCCCUGGGAGCCCUCCAGAUUGUCUGCCACAGAGAAGACAGCACAGGACAAGAGGAAGAGUCAUGAACGUGUGCCAGUGGCACACCCAGGAAGGAACAACUGCCAUGGAAACUGUCCCUGUGCCACACGAUCGUAAAACCGAGGAAGUUUAAACCACGGUUUUGGAUGUUGGGCUAGAAGCACAUGGCAAUGUUUCCUGAGCCGAGGGGACGAAAGAGGGUAAGCCCCCUGAGUGCCCGCUUCCUGCCUGGAGGCAGCUUCCAGGACUAGCCCUGGGCAGGCCCAUAGCCACACCCCAGCAGGCCUGCUGAGUAGAGUAAGCCAAGACUGGCAUGUGGGGAGGCCCAGGCAGCUGGAAUUUGUGGGGCAGGGUUCUGAACAGGAGGGGCUGCAUCUAAGGAGCUCUGGGCGGGUGGGGGGGCUUCAGAGUCCCCUGCAAUCUACUGAUCUUGCAGGUGUGGCUUAAACUUCCAGGAACCCAAGGGAAAAUCACCAGAAAGCAGUACAUUUGGCUGCAAUAGUGUUUCUACCAGCCAGGGUGGAGAGACCUUGAAAUACUCGGAUAUAGACAUCGGUGUAGGGUCAGAAGGCUAUGAUCUUAGCAGUGGGGUUAAAUUAGCCCUAGAGUAAAAGCUAAAGUUAAAGGCAGGCCUCGGAAGGCUCAAACUGAUCCUAAGUAUCUUAACUGCCUGCCUCAACAAAGUCCAACCUUAAAGGAAUACAAAAAUAUCCCACACUAAAUGAAAGUCUAAGUGAAGUUCUAAAGAAAAAAUAAAAUAUCUGCAAUGAAAAAUACUCUGGGUAGAAUUAACAGAUCAGAAACUUCAGAAAAAAUACCCAUGAACUUGAUGCCUCGGGAACACAAACUACCAGAAAGCAGCAGAAAAGAGAAUGGAAAACAGUAGCCGGUGGGACAGUGUCAAGCAUUCCAACAUACAUGUAACUGGAAUCCUGGAAAAAUGAGGAACAACCACGACAAAAUACUAAUUCAAAGUGAACCUGUCACAAGUUUGCUGGAAUUACGGAUGAGGCUGUUGAGUCUGUAGGUCAGUUUGGGACGAAGUGACAUCUUGAGACCAUGGAGUUCCCAGUCUGCGUUGAUGUGUUCUUGAAUUCGGCAGUAUUUUGUAGCUUUUAUUGUAGAGAUUUUGCACACUUUUGAUGAAUUUUUCCUAGGCACUUUGUUUUUGAUGUCAUCACAAAUGGAGUUAUGCUUUAGUUUCCUGGGGCUCCCAUAACGCAGUGCCACAAACUGGGUGGCUUAUGACAGAAACUUCUCCUCUCACAGUCCUGGAGGAUAUAAACCCGAAAUGUGGGUAUCGGCAGGAUUGGUUCCUUCCAGAGGUUGGAAGAACCACCUGUUCCAUGCCUCCCUCCUAGCUCCUGGUGGUCACUGGCAAUCCUUGGCUUACAGAGGCAUCACCCCCAGUCUCUGUCUGUCUUCACGUGGCCUCCUCCCUGCAUCUCUGUGUUCGUCUCUUUAAGAUUUUAAGCAAUUCCGGGGCACCUGGAUGGCUCAGUUGGUUAAGUGCCUGACUUUGGCUCA